rnacentral:rRNA from 1 species
UUUCUGCCGCCGGCGACCGGCGCACGGGUGAGUAACACGUAUGCAACCUGCCCCUGUCAGGGGGACAACCCGCCGAAAGGCGGGGCUAAACCCGCGUACAUGCCACCGGGGCAUCCCGGAGGCAGGAAAGGCUUCGGCCGGACAGGGAUGGGCAUGCGGCGCAUUAGGCAGUAGGCGGGGUAACGGCCCACCUAACCGACGAUGCGUAGGGGUUCUGAGAGGAAGGUCCCCCACACUGGUACUGAGACACGGACCAGACUCCUACGGGAGGCAGCAG